GGGAUUGUGGCUCAGUGGCAGAGCACUUGCCUGGCAUGUGUGAGGCCCUGGGUUUGAUUCUCAGCCCCA
rnacentral:tRNA from 1 species